rnacentral:rRNA from 1 species
UGCCAGCAGCCGCGGUAAUACGGAGGGUCCAAGCGUUAUCCGGAUUCAUUGGGUUUAAAGGGUGCGCAGGCGGCCUUAUAAGUCAGUGGUGAAAUCCUCCCGCUCAACGGGAGAACUGCCAUUGAAACUGUAAGGCUUGAAUCUAUUUGAAGUGGGCGGAAUACGACAUGUAGCGGUGAAAUGCAUAGAUAUGUCGUGGAACACCGAUUGCGAAGGCAGCUCACUAAGUUAGUAUUGACGCUGAGGCACGAAAGCGUGGGGAGCGAACAGGAUUAGAUA